UUCUUUCCAGGCACUCACUGACCGUGAAGUUUCUACUAUGAUGCUCCUGGCUUAUCUCUCUUACAUGCUGGCUGAAGUUGUACCCAUCUGGUCAAUUUAAAUCGAGGCUUUGUUAAGAAGUUCAUUAGCAAGCUAAGCCAUCAUUUAACAGAUUGGGCCGCUGCUAGCUGGAUUCGUCACUGCCAGCCACCUCCCGCCGAUUUGUAGCCUCCUAGCGGCAGUCGACGGCUUGGAAAAACAGGAAAUAUCGAGAAGGUUUCCAUAUAUUUUAUUCGAGAGCCAACAAGAGUUUUGCUCAUCUAAACAUCAUCAAUGUUAAUAUGGGUCCUUAGGUAUCUUAUAUUCUGUCAACUUCAGCUUGGAUGGAGAUGUAUUCUGUAUAUAAUAUUGUGUAAUGUUUAUGCUUGGAUUGAAUUGCGUUGUAACCUUCUUGAUGAUGAUAUCAGGCACUGCUUAUGACUGCCUGAAUGAAUUGCAUUGUAAUUAUGUCGUUGCAUACGACCAGUACAUUGGAUGAAUUGAAUUGCAUUGAAAUAUUGCAAUUUUU